GGUCCCGUGGUCCAGCGGCGACGACAUCUGUCUUACAAACAGAAAACGGCGGUUCGAUUCCGUCCGGGACUAC
rnacentral:tRNA from 1 species